UUCAGCACCUUUUAUAUUGUGAAAUGCACUUUGAAGAACUCAGGAGGACGAUGGCACCUAACAGCGACUCCUUUCCUUCUUCGGAAACAGCUCUAUUUCUAUCUUUGAUAUCUCUUUUUUCCCCCUUUUCAAGGUUCUUUUGAAGAUGCUGACUUUGGAUCUUUGUAGAAAUGAGUCCCGCUCUCGGGGCCUCAUGACCAGCUGCUUUUCGAUAUGCCAAGGGUGCGGCCUGGAAGACUAGGCCUACCUUCAGGGUGCCAGAUUUUGUGGCUCUGGAGGUGGGCGGAAUCAAGGCCAGUGCCGCCGUCUGAAGGUUGUAAACAGUGAGCUGGCUGCUGGCUGUGUGAUCAGAGUCCAAAGUUCUUUGAACACAGAGCUCAGAAGAAGAGACACAACGGACUUUUAACACCAUAAACCUGCAAGCAAAAGUGCAUGAGGAACUCAACAGGUCAAUGGAAAUGAAUAAACAGUCACCAUUUUGGGCAAGACCCUUCUUCAGGACUGGAAAGGAAGACUUCAGUGAAGCCAGGUGCAUAUUCCAAUGUCCAGAUUCACCGGUUUUGCCUCUUCGCUUUGAUUUCACCAGCUGACCUUAGGAUGACUGCACACUCAACCCACAGGCAUCUCCAAAUAACUGGAUGCAAACCACUACAGAUGCCAUAAAUCUAAAAUAAAAAUGUAAAUGCUGGUGGAACUCAGCAGGCCAGCAGCAUCCAUGGAAAAGAGUACAGUUGAGGCUUCGGGCUGAGACAUUGACUCUACUCUUUUCCAUAGAUGCUGCCUGGCAGGUUGAGUUCCUCUAGCACUUUGUGUGUGUUGGUUGGAUUUCCAGCAUCUGCAGGCUUUCUCUUGUCUGGAAAUGUUCUGCAGGUCAGGUAAAAUGAUGAACACAGAGAGGCUGCUCACUUUGGUCUGUUAAGAGAUCCAGAGAAAUAUCAGGAUGACAUGCUCAACUUGGAAGGCAGUGACUGGAAUUCUGCAUCCAAGGGCUAUUGGUGACUUUAUGCCAGGCAAAUAAAUUUUGAAAUGUAGGGGAAGUGAAGAAACAUUUGGAUCAUGCAGAUAGUGAAUAUUUGAGAAGCAACAGAGGAACUAUAGUAGACCAAUUAGCUUCUUCAGCAUACUGCACCUUCCAAUAGAUUGUGGUCCACGUAGUCUUCUCCUCAACAUCAUUUCCCUGCAUCUUCCACAUAUUCUGCAUUGAUUAUACUUAGAGACUCAAUAUACCCAAUGCAGAUAGAUUGCGAGACACCUUUCCCUUUAAUAUUGUUAUCUAGAACCAAAAGGCAUGCGCUUAAGCUGAGGGGAAUUGAGGAAGAAUUGUUUUUGAGAGGUUAAUUAAAACCUAAAAUGCACUGCUUGAAGAAAAGGGAGACAUUUAACAUCAACAUUCUAGGAUUGUGAUAAGCACUUGAAUGGCCAAGGUGUGAAGGCCGCAGGUCAGCAUGAUCUGCUUCCUUGCUGCAUGACUGCCUCCACUGUUGUGCAGAAUAGAGAGAUUCACAAACAUCUAAACAAAUUCCUCCUCAUAUCAAGUUCGAAUGGGUGAUCACUUAUGCUGGAACUGAAUCUAUUUCUUGCAGUAUCCAUCAUAUUAACACCCUUCUGAAUCUUCAACGUAUCAAUAAGAUUACUGCUCAGUCCAAUAUUCCAUUGGGUAGAGGGCUAACAUGCUUAACUAUCUUUGAUUGCAAUCAAAUAAACUUCCUCUACACUGGCUUUAAUCCAAGUACAGUGGAUUCCACUUAAUUGGGACACAUCAGGACCAGUACAUUUUGGGCCAAUUAAGUAGCUGGCCAAUUAGCCAAAGUUUCACAGAGAUAAUUUUAAAAAUAUAAAGAUGAAAAACUACCAUUUAAUGGAGUAACAAACUAUGUCUUUAAAUGAAUUGCAGAACAAAUUGGAACACUAGCAAUACUACUACAGUGCUACAAGGUGGUAGGUGAAACCGGGAGGGGAGGGAGGAAAUAAAGAGCUGGGAAGGUUUGUAGCAGCGCUUCUCCCUAUAGAUGCUGCCUGACCUGCUGCGUUCCACCAGCAUUUUGUGUGUGUUGCUUGAAUUUCCAGCAUCUGGAGAUUUCCUCGUAGUUCCUAAUAGUUAUUGACUGAGGAAUUUAUUCAGCGUCCACUAUGUAUAGGGUAAUCUUUUUGGCUAGUGUCAAAUCUCUUUGUAACAUCUUGGCAAGGGACUGAAAUUUUAAGUCACAAUAAAAAAACAAAAUUAUCAAAAACUCGCUGCCUUUUGAAUCUGAUUCUGUCAGCCCAAAUGAAUUAACAUGACACAAGUACACGCUACUGAUGUUAUUUAAAAACUGUUCACUCUAAGCUUGUUGUGAACUGUUCAGCAACAGUCUCUUGUUACAUUCAGCCAGAGAAUCAUUCCACUGAGAUGUAACACUGAGCAGCAUAGGAAGUCAUUCCUACCUGUGGCCAUCAAACUUUACAACUCCUCCCUCGGAGUGUCAGACACCCUGAGCCAAUAGGCUGG